UACUCUCACACUCUCCGAUCCUCUGGAUUUGGGGAGCGGUGGACUUGGGUGCUUGCUGCUUUCGUUGUGGCUCACCUCAAAUGUGUCAGUGCAUCUCUUGAUUGGACAUAGUACGGCGUGAUAAGUGUCUUCGCCGGCACCUCAUAAGAGGGUGGCCCAUCGGGAGCUCUGUGCUUUCAAACCGUCUUCGGACAAUUUCUGACA
rnacentral:misc_RNA from 1 species